AUUGAACGCUGGCGGAAUGCUUUACACAUGCAAGUCGAGCGGCAGCGCGGGGCAACCUGGCGGCGAGCGGCGAACGGGUGAGUAACAUAUCGGAACGUACCCUAUCGUGGGGGAUAACACAUCGAAAGAUGUGCUAAUACCGCAUACGACCUGAGGGUGAAAGCGGGGGAUCGCAAGACCUCGCGCGACAGGAGCGGCCGAUAUCGGAUUAGCUAGUUGGUGAGGUAAAGGCUCACCAAGGCGACGAUCCGUAGCUGGUCUGAGAGGACGACCAGCCACACUGGAACUGAGACACGGUCCAGACUCCUACGGGUGGCUG
rnacentral:rRNA from 1 species